rnacentral:rRNA from 1 species
GACGAACGCUGGCGGCGUGCUUAACACAUGCAAGUCGAGCGAGAAACCUUCGGGUUUCUAGCGGCGGACGGGUGAGUAAUACGUGGGUAACCUGCCUCGAAGAGGGGGAUAGCCUUCCGAAAGGAAGAUUAAUACCGCAUAAUAUUACAGUUUCGCAUGAAGCAGUAAUUAAAGGAGUAAUCCGCUUUGAGAUGGACCCGCGGCGCAUUAGCUAGUUGGAGAGGUAACGGCUCACCAAGGCAACGAUGCGUAGCCGACCUGAGAGGGUGAUCGGCCACAUUGGAACUGAGACACGGUCCAGACUCCUACGGGAGGCAGCAGUGGGGAAUAUUGCACAAUGGGCGAAAGCCUGAUGCAGCAACGCCGCGUGAGUGAUGAAGGUCUUCGGAUUGUAAAGCUCUGUCUUUUGGGACGAUAAUGACGGUACCAAAGGAGGAAGCCACGGCUAACUACGUGCCAGCAGCCGCAGUAA